GCUUGAGGAGCAUGAUCCUGCUCAAGCACAAUGGGGUGGUCCUGCCCAGGCAGGCUGAUGUGAUCCUGCUCAGGACGCAUGGCGUGGCCUGCUUGGGCAGCAUGGGAUGGUCCUGCUUGGGCAGCAUGG